rnacentral:rRNA from 1 species
GAUGAACGCUGGCGGCGUGCUUAACACAUGCAAGUCGAACGAAACACCUUAUUUGAUUUUCUUCGGAACUGAAGAUUUGGUGAUUGAGUGGCGGACGGGUGAGUAACGCGUGGGUAACCUGCCCUGUACAGGGGGAUAACAGUCAGAAAUGACUGCUAAUACCGCAUAAGACCACAGCACCGCAUGGUGCAGGGGUAAAAACUCCGGUGGUACAGGAUGGACCCGCGUCUGAUUAGCUGGUGGGUGAGGUAACGGCUCACCAAGGCGACGAUCAGUAGCCGGGUUGAGAGAGUGAACGGACACAUUGGGACUGAGACACGGCCCAAACUCCUACGGGAGGCAGCAGUGGGGAAUAUUGCACAAUGGGGGAAACCCUGAUGCAGCGACGCCGCGUGAGUGAAGAAGUAUUUCGGUAUGUAAAGCUCUAUCAGCAGGGAAGAAAAUGACGUUACCUGACUAAGAAGCCCCGGCUAACUACGUG